rnacentral:misc_RNA from 1 species
GGGAGAAGGAGCUUUGCUUGGAACAUGAACUGUUUUUAUACAUUGCUAAUGCAAGAAGUACCUAAGCAUAUUAAACAAAGGCUAAAAAAUUCAAGGAAGUACAAAAUUAAGAAAGAAAAAGAGAGAAGAUCAUUAAAACAUUGUUAACCUAAAAAGGUUCCUUUAACCUUAGAGAUGACCACAAAAAUAGUUCUUGUGAACCUCCAUGCACGAACUCUGUAUUGUUUCCAUUAGAUUCAGUUCUUGUUACCCCAUUGCUUGUGACCAGGACCCCAUUUUGGACACUUAGGACUAAAAUAACUUGAAAUGACCCUUGAGUUCAAAAGCUGCACAAUAGGUGCAAAUUUCACACAUCUGGGGGUCUUGUACUGGUUUAUUGAUGCCCCUAAGCUAAUGGCAUAGUCCAUUAACUUAUCAAAAGUACCUGGCUCAACAAUCUUGAUCUCAAGUGGCCCAAUUGACUUAUCAGAGACACGCCCUUGGCGAUAGACACUGUUAAGUGACUCUUCAAUAGUCAAGCAACAGUCCUCAAAAAUUGAAGGAGGAAUUGGGGUUAACCCGUUAAGGGUAAGCUCCCAGAAUAAUACAUAGUGUCCUGGAGUAGUAGUGGUGUCUGCAUAACUAGUGUACUCAACUAGAGUUGCAUCAAAUGGGACCAAAUGGUUCACAGAGUUCUUCACUGCAUUUUGUAGCUCAACCUCAUCAGUUUUAUCUGAUUCAAUGCUCAAGACCACAUUUUUCCUGCAUAUGAAAUUGAAUUGCGGUGCCUUGUUCUUGAACCCAGCCACCCUUAGCACAUCACCAACUCUAUAGCGAUAAAGUCCUGCAUAAGUGGUGACAACAAGCUCAUAUUCUUGGCCAAACUUGACAUCAACAAGAUCAACCAAUUCUUGUUGCUCCUUUUCAUUGAGUGAUUUGGUCAUGGAAAUUGACUUGGUGACCCCAUUGUUUCUAUGGACAGGCAAAAACUCAAAAUAGGCCAUGGUAGGAAUGAGGGUGUAAGAAACUUCACUUGGUUUGCAAAGAGGAUUAAGAUUGACGCCAAAGUAGCACUCAGAGGAGGCAUACAUGGUGCAAACUAAAGGCAAGCCAUUGCUAUAGUAAUCUAGAGUAGGAAUAUAUUGAGACAUGGUCCCUGUCACAAUAACAUCCACGUACUUGGUGUUAGGCCAAAUCCUUGUUAUAAUCCCUUGCCAAGAAUCUUGACUGCAUUCAGCUUCAAUAAAAUCAGCAAGUUUUGGAUAUGGUUUAAGGAUUUUCAUGACAGCUUCUCGAACACAAGGAUCAGUGAUUUGAGGGUUAAUUGUGCCUAUUCUAAUAUCAUUGCAAAGAAGUUGCCAAUGGUUUUUUAGGAAAUGGAUUGCCCGAAUAAAGCCAGAGGCAAAAACAGCACCUACACGGAAUACUUUGUUGCGUUGGCAAAGCCCACAGAGCAUUUGGGAAUACAUAGAUUGGUAAGAAUCAGGGCAAAGAAUGGUUUCAUUUGGGCUAGUAUAGUUAGUGUAAGGGUCAUAUGGCCUAUUCUUAAAAUAGGAGCUCUUGUAGUAGCUAGUGAGAACUGGUCUUGCCACGAGGCCACCAGGUGUCUUAGCCUCUGAUUUUAUGAACAAAAAGUACAUCCCUUUCGCUUUUUCUAGGCCAGGAAUGAACUGGUUCAUAAUAGGCAUUAACAGACUAUAAAGCAGUGACCUCCUUCCUAGCUCCUCUUCAAUUGUUGGCAUCAACUUUCUUUCCCCUCCUGAGGUCCCAGAGCUUGUCAAGAACUCUGAAAUGGGCUUAGAGCAAAGUAUUGGAGAGGUAUCGCCAUUGGCAAUACGAUUGAUGUCAGGUUGGAUAUCCUCAUAGGUGAUAAUAGGCAUGAGUUUUUUGAAAGUCUCACGGUCAGUGUGCCCAUUAAGGCCAUGCCUUUGCAAGUACUCAACGUGAGCAUUGAGAGAGAGGAUUUCUUCAAGGACUUUCUUCUGCACCUCAUCAGGGUUUGAAGUAACAUCUUCAAUGAACUGAAGGGUUUUGUUGUUAUUCCCUCCAAGAUUGUAAUAUGUGGGUUUCAAUGUGUUUUUUGGUUCCUCAGGCAUAGCUUUUGCACUAUUUAAGAGAUACUUUGAUUGAAAGCAGUGUCUUUUUGU